AUAUGUCUGUGUAUAUGUCUGUGUUAUGUCUGUGUAUAUGUCUGUGUUUAUGUCUGUGUUUAUGUCUGUGUUUAUGUCUGUGUUUAUGUCUGUGUUUAUGUCUGUGUUUAUGUCUGUGUUUAUGUCUGUGUUUGUGUCUGUGUUUAUGUCUGUGUUUAUGUCUGUGUUUAUGUCUGUGUUUAUGUCUGUGUUUAUGUCUGUGUUUAUGUCUGUGUUUGUGUCUGUGUUUAUGUCUGUGUUUGUGUCUGUGUUUAUGUCUGUGUUUGUGUCUGUGUUUAUGUCUGUGUUUAUGUCUGUGUUUAUGUCUGUGUAUGUUAUAUAGCUGAGCCUUUAAGUUGUCUAUAUUCUUCUCCAUCUCAGUCAUGAUCUGAUAAGAUGGUAUCACAGACACAAGGAAACGUAUGAAAUUGGAUUCGCAUUUAUUAUUGUAUGUUUUUGUCUGUCGAAAGUUCAACUCAAGUCAACUAUUUCCGGAGGAGUUUCAUACGCACAAAAGGCCGUCAUCUUUGUGUGUUUUCUUUCGAAAGACAAUCAUCUCCGUUGUCCAUCUUCCAUCAACGGAAGCCCUCCAUUGAAAAACCAUUGGCUCAAAGCCAUAGUUUUCCUCACACAAACUUCCUGUCUGGCCACAGCCUUGGUAAUUGAUCAGGGCCCGGUUCCCCAAAAGCAUCUUGAGGCUAAGUUUAUCUUGGAACCAUAGGAUUCUUGAGAUGUUUUUAGGAAACCGGGCCUUGGUGGUUUUCUCUCGUCCUCUUGCCUGUUGUCCAUCCAUCAUCAAAUCAGAUCCCCCUACUUCCUUUAAAAACUGGCCUUCAUGUGCUUUCAUAUAUCUACUUCACAAAUUCAGUAUUUAUGCAAUACAAAUGCAGUAUUCGCUGUAAAAAAAAAAGUGAUGUGUUUUUUGUUAUAUGGAAAUUACAUUGACAAGUAUUUUUCAUGGUGCUAACGUUUAGCCUUUAAAAACAUAAUAAUAUUGUAAUGUAUUGCAAAUGUAGUUUUAUAUGACCUUCUAGAAUAUCGUCCUGUAGGUUUGUAAUUUAUACUUUAAUAUGAUGUACUUUUGACUUAAAACGUUUUGUCCCUUUUUGUAGUUGUGUUUUUCAUAAGGUUGCAAAAUUCUGGUAACUUUCCCACGAGUCCCAGGUGUUCCAGCAACCCCGGUUGGAAGAUUCUGGUAACUUUCCCACGAGUCCCAGGUGUUCCAGCAACCCCGGUUUGAAGAUUCCUGGAAUCAGGAAGUAAUAAAGCAGGACAUCUGGGAAAUAUAGGAAUCCUACAACUGGGAAUUUUGGAAAAGUUACCAGAUUUUUAAAAGAAAUGUGCAGCCCUAGUUUUGUAUUGUUUAUGUUUCAUUAGGAUAAAUCCUAUAGUUGCUGUCAUCAGUCUGUUUUAACACCAGUGCACCUCAUCAUACAGGUAUAUUAUAGUGACCGGUAGAGCUCUGGUUAAAAGUAGUGCUCUAUGUUUUGGGAAUAGGGUGAUAUUUGGGAUGCACUAUGGUUGUACCUAAUAAGUACUGCACCUGAUACUUGGCAAUGGUAGAGAACAAUAAACACCAGAUUUCCAAACGA